rnacentral:rRNA from 1 species
UAGGGAAUCUUCGGCAAUGGGGGGAACCCUGACCGAGCAACGCCGCGUGAGUGAAGAAGGUCUUCGGAUCGUAAAGCUCUGUUGUUAAGGAAGAACGAGUGUGAGAAUGGAAAGUUCAUGCUGUGACGGUACUUAACCAGAAAGCCACGGCUAACUACGUGCCAGCAGCCGCGGUAAUACGUAGGUGGCAAGCGUUGUCCGGAUUUAUUGGGCGUAAAGCGAGCGCAGGCGGUCAAUUAAGUCUGAUGUGAAAGCCCCCGGCUCAACCGGGGAGGGUCAUUGGAAACUGGUUGACUUGAGUGCAGAAGAGGAGAGUGGAAUUCCAUGUGUAGCGGUGAAAUGCGUAGAUAUAUGGAGGAACACCAGUGGCGAAGGCGACUCUCUGGUCUGUAACUGACGCUGAGGCUCGAAAGCGUGGGGAGCGAACAGG